AACUUAACAUAUAUAUAUAUAGUAAACGAGCCGUUUUACUACCGAUUUGUUUUCGAUGAUAGAACUUUCAAAUUGACGAUCGGCUCCGUUGAACAUGAUUUAUACCACUUGAAGUGUUUGGAAAUCAAAUUUCAUAUCUUUCGACAUCAUUUGCCUAGUGAUCAAAGAGUUGCAAAAUUUGUAAUUUUAAUGGUCGAUAAGAGGCGUUUUCUCGUUUCACGGCGUAAAGAUACCCAGAUCAAUUGAAUUUUUGUUAGAAAAUUCUUUAAACUAUUUAAAACAAGAUCUAUACUCUUGAUCUUGAUUACAAGACUUCUAUUAUCAUUUUUUAAAGAGUAUUCAUUUUCAGCCAUUCAAUUUUCUGUUCACUUGAUGGAUAAAAGAACAAUAUCGAAAGUGCGUGAAAUUUGAUUUCUAGGUAGUUUAAAUGGUUUAGAUCAUAUUUAACGGAGCUGAUCGUCAAUUUGGAAGCUCUAUCAUCGAAAACAAAUCGGUAGUAAAACGGCUCGUUUACUACCGAUAGUAUUCUAGCUCAACUCUCUCUCUAUAUAUAUAUAGAGAGAGAGAGAGAGAGAGUUAGGUUGGUAUACUAUCGGUAGCACGGAAGCCUCCGUGCUACCAAGUUGUUUUCAAUAUUGCGGCUUCCAAAUCGACAAUCGGCAAUCGACAAUUCGCUCCGUUAGACUUUCUAUAUUAUUAAAAGUAUUUGAAAAUUAAAUUUCAUAAUUUUUCGAUAUCAUCUACCUAUCAAAUGAGUAGUCUAAAAAUAAACGGCUGAAAAUAAAAAUCGCAUAAAAAAUGAUGAAAAAAGACUUGAAUCUAAUAGUGUUUUAAUUUUCUAUAAAAUUUCAUUAGAUUUGGAUUAUUUUACACCGUUAAAUUCACAAACGCAUCACAUUGACCAUUAAAAUUCUCAAUUUUGAGACCUUUUGAUCAUUAGACAAAUGAUGUCGAAAAAUUAUGAAAUUUAAUUUUCAAAUAUCUAACAAAGCCGAUCGUCGAUUUGGAAGCCACAUUAUUGAAAACAACUUGGUAGCACGGAGGCCUCCGUGCUACCGAUAGUUACCGCCUAGUGCUCUCGUCUCUCUCUCUCUCCUCUCUACUCGGUUCUCUCCUCGCUCGCUCUCUCAUCUCCUUAUCUCCGCCUCUGCUCCUAUCUCCAGUUCUGCAUUUCUGCUCUCCCGUCAAAAGACUCAAGGUCCUAUCCGGCCUCGAUCACUCUCAUGUGAUCUCAGAACAUUCGUCGCUCUCACGCCAGUCCCCAGAGUUGUGACAGCCGUCAAUCACUGAUCAGGGUUCGCCCAACCCUCCCCUCUCAAUCAUCUCAGGAAUCAGUCCACCACAAAGUACGUCACUGCACGAUCUCUCUCUAUUAUAUAUAUAUAUAUAUAUAUUAUAUGCUGGCUACUACUAUACUCUUAUGAGUAUAGAUCUUUUCUUGUACUCAUAAAUUUUUAACCCUUGAUUGAUGGGAUAUGUGGUUAGGAUGAUGGUGGUCCCCACUUAGAAUGAUAGUGGUCCCCCAGGGUUGAGUGUGUAGUUGGUUGAAUAAUAUGAUCUAACGGGUGAAAAUGAUCAAUGGAAUAAAUUUGAGGGCCAAAAUUUUAUGAGUAUAAGGGAGACAAUACUCAUAAAAGUAUAGUAGCCGGACUAUAUAUAUAUAUCAAAAUUUAUAAUUUUAAUGGUCAAUAAGAGGCGUUUUCUCGUUUAACGGCGUAAAGAUAUCCAAAUCAAUUGAAUUUUUGUUAGAAAAUUCUUUAAACUAUUUAAAACAGGAUCUAUACUCUUGAUCUUGAUUAUAAGACUCCUAUCAUCAUUUUUUAAAGAAUAUUCAUUUUCAGCCAUUCAUUUUUUUGUUCACUUGAUGGAUAAAAGAACAAUAUCGAAAGCGCGUGAAAUUUGAUUUAUAGGUAGUUUAAAUGGUUUAGAUCAUAUUUAACGGAGCCGAUCGUCAAUUUGGAAGCUCUAUUAUUGAAAACAAAUAGGUAGUAAAACUGCUCGUUUAUUACUAAUAGUAUUCUAACUCAACUAUAUAUAUAUAUAUAUAUAUAUAUGCAAGCAU
rnacentral:lncRNA from 1 species